rnacentral:tRNA from 1 species
UCCCUUGUGGCUCAGACGGUAAAGCGUCUGCCUACAAUGCAGGAGACCCAGGUUCGAUCCCUGGGUCAGGAA